GACGAACGCUGGCGGCGUGCUUAACACAUGCAAGUCGAACGCUGAAGCUUGGUGCUUGCACUGGGUGGAUGAGUGGCGAACGGGUGAGUAAUACGUGAGUAACCUGCCCUUGACUCUGGGAUAAGCCUGGGAAACUGGGUCUAAUACUGGAUAUGACAUGCCACUGCAUGGUGGUGUGUGGAAAGGGUUUUACUGGUUUUGGAUGGGCUCACGGCCUAUCAGCUUGUUGGUGGGGUAAUGGCCUACCAAGGCGACGACGGGUAGCCGGCCUGAGAGGGUGACCGGCCACACUGGGACUGAGACACGGCCCAGACUCCUACGGGAGGCAGCAGUGGGGAACAUUGCACAAUGGGCGGAAGCCUGAUGCAGCGACGCCGCGUGAGGGAUGACGGCCUUCGGGUUGUAAACCUCUUUCAGCACGGAAGAAGCGAGAGUGACGGUACGUGCAGAAGAAGCGCCGGCUAACUACGUG
rnacentral:rRNA from 1 species